ACGAACGCUGGCGGCGUGCUUAACCCAUGCAAGUCGAACGGAAAGGCCCUGCUUUUGUGGGGUGCUCGAGUGGCGAACGGGUGAGUAACACGUGAGUAACCUGCCCUUGACUUUGGGAUAACUUCAGGAAACUGGGGCUAAUACCGGAUAGGAGCUCCUGCUGCAUGGGGGGGGGUGGAAAGUUUCGGCGGUUGGGGAUGGACUCGCGGCUUAUCAGCUUGUUGGUGGGGUAGUGGCUUACCAAGGCUUUGACGGGUAGCCGGCCUGAGAGGGUGACCGGCCACAUUGGGACUGAGAUACGGCCCAGACUCCUACGGGAGGCAGCAGUGGGGAAUAUUGCACAAUGGGCGGAAGCCUGAUGCAGCAACGCCGCGUGCGGGAUGACGGCCUUCGGGUUGUAAACCGCUUUCGCCUGUGACGAAGCGUGAGUGACGGUAAUGGGUAAAGAAGCACCGGCUAACUACGUG
rnacentral:rRNA from 1 species